rnacentral:tRNA from 1 species
AGUAGUGUGGCUUAGUGGAUAGGGCGCGGGAGUCAGAAGGACCUGGGUUCUAAUCCCAGCUUUGCUA